GGCGGCGUAGCUCAGAUGGUUAGAGCGAGGGAUUCAUAACCCCUAGGUCCGUGGUUCGAUUCCACGCGCCGCCA
rnacentral:tRNA from 1 species